rnacentral:misc_RNA from 1 species
ACCAUCAAGCCUGGCUUGUCGUUGGACCCUUUUUACCGCUGAAAUAUGUGGUAGGUCCGAAAGAUAAUGACGGCGUCGUGUUUGACCCUAGAUGCAACGAGCUUUUUAUAGCACGCAUUGAAGUGGUCGACCGACCCGGUCUUUAACCAUCAUUUUCUAAGGUUGACCUCGGAUCAGGUAGGAAUACCCGCUGAACUUAA